rfam:Anopheles gambiae str. PEST chromosome 2L, whole genome shotgun sequence.
CCUUCGAUAGCUCAGUUGGUAGAGCGGUGGACUGUAGAAGCGCAAGAUGCGGUGAAAGAGAGUAAUCCAUAGGUCACUGGUUCAAAUCCGGUUCGAAGGA